CACGUAGGGUGCGAGCGUUGUCCGGAAUUAUUGGGCGUAAAGAGCUCGUAGGCGGUGUGUCGCGUCGGCCGUGAAAACCUGGGGCUCAACUCUGGGCGUGCGGUCGAUACGGGCAUGACUGGAGUUCGGCAGGGGAGACUGGAAUUCCUGGUGAUGAGCGGUGAAAUGCGCAGAUAUCAGGAGGAACACCAGUGGCGAAGGCGACUACCUGGCCUGUUUCUUGACGCUGGAGGCGACGAAAGCCUAGGGGGAGCAAACGGG
rnacentral:rRNA from 1 species